UUAUAUAAACUUACACAAAAGCCUUUUGAAAUUAUUGUUCCCCAUAAACAAAAACUAUAGGUCAAAAAUGCAAGUUAUUUAACCUCACUAAUAACCAAAGUAAGUUUAAAUUUUUCUCUACACCAUGUUGAUAAUGAUUAGAUAAUGAAGACAAUCCUGUUUUUACAGGGGAAUCAGCCUGUGGAAAUGCCCAGACAAGACAAUAUUUAACAUGCUCAAGGUGUGAAAGCAGAAAUAAAUCUCUUUAGAAGGCUCUUGCCAGUUUUGCAACCCAAGAAUGUUUUUCUCAAGGACAUGGGAUUCAUCUCUCUAUAGAAUGAGAUCAUCAAGACAGUGCACCUAUCUCCUAAUCUAUGUAGGACUGGAGCCUAAUUUUGUAGGUGGGAGCCUAAUUUUGAUGAGCAUCUUACUAUAAGUUGUAAAACUACCUCCUGUCAUGAAGAUAUGAGAAAAUUUACUUUAUCUUUGAGUAAGUCCAGUUACCAAGCACAGAUGACAUAUGGUCCUUCGCAUCCCAGCUAUUAAAAGCUCCUCCACCUUUUGUUUCAAUGGCUUUGAGUUCAGAUUGUGUUUUGAUCUCUCUAAUUUAUUGCUAUAGCCAUGAAUAAAGUCUUCCAUUCCUGUUUAA